rnacentral:rRNA from 1 species
GGGUUGUGAGGUUAAGCGACUAAGCGUACACGGUGGAUGCCCUGGCAGUCAGAGGCGAUGAAGGACGUGCUAAUCUGCGAUAAGCGUCGGUAAGGUGAUAUGAACCGUUAUAACCGGCGAUUUCCGAAUGGGGAAACCCAGUGUGUUUCGACACACUAUCAUUAACUGAAUCCAUAGGUUAAUGAGGCGAACCGGGGGAACUGAAACAUCUAAGUACCCCGAGGAAAAGAAAUCAACCGAGAUUCCCCCAGUAGCGGCGAGCGAACGGGGAGGAGCCCAGAGCCUGAAUCAGUGUGUGUGUUAGUGGAAGCGUCUGGAAAGGCGCGCGAUACAGGGUGACAGCCCCGUACACAAAAAUGCACAUGCUGUGAGCUCGAUGAGUAGGGCGGGACACGUGGUAUCCUGUCUGAAUAUGGGGGGACCAUCCUCCAAGGCUAAAUACUCCUGACUGACCGAUAGUGAACCAGUACCGUGAGGGAAAGGCGAAAAGAACCCCGGCGAGGGGAGUGAAAAAGAACCUGAAACCGUGUACGUACAAGCAGUGGGAGCACGCUUAGGCGUGUGACUGCGUACCUUUUGUAUAAUGGGUCAGCGACUUAUAUUCUGUAGCAAGGUUAACCGAAUAGGGGAGCCGAAGGGAAACCGAGUCUUAACUGGGCGUUAAGUUGCAGGGUAUAGACCCGAAACCCGGUGAUCUAGCCAUGGGCAGGUUGAAGGUUGGGUAACACUAACUGGAGGACCGAACCGACUAAUGUUGAAAAAUUAGCGGAUGACUUGUGGCUGGGGGUGAAAGGCCAAUCAAACCGGGAGAUAGCUGGUUCUCCCCGAAAGCUAUUUAGGUAGCGCCUCGUGAACUCAUCUCCGGGGGUAGAGCACUGUUUCGGCAAGGGGGUCAUCCCGACUUACCAACCCGAUGCAAACUGCGAAUACCGGAGAAUGUUAUCACGGGAGACACACGGCGGGUGCUAACGUCCGUCGUGAAGAGGGAAACAACCCAGACCGCCAGCUAAGGUCCCAAAGUCAUGGUUAAGUGGGAAACGAUGUGGGAAGGCCCAGACAGCCAGGAUGUUGGCUUAGAAGCAGCCAUCAUUUAAAGAAAGCGUAAUAGCUCACUGGUCGAGUCGGCCUGCGCGGAAGAUGUAACGGGGCUAAACCAUGCACCGAAGCUGCGGCAGCGACGCUUAUGCGUUGUUGGGUAGGGGAGCGUUCUGUAAGCCUGUGAAGGUGUGCUGUGAGGCAUGCUGGAGGUAUCAGAAGUGCGAAUGCUGACAUAAGUAACGAUAAAGCGGGUGAAAAGCCCGCUCGCCGGAAGACCAAGGGUUCCUGUCCAACGUUAAUCGGGGCAGGGUGAGUCGACCCCUAAGGCGAGGCCGAAAGGCGUAGUCGAUGGGAAACAGGUUAAUAUUCCUGUACUUGGUGUUACUGCGAAGGGGGGACGGAGAAGGCUAUGUUGGCCGGGCGACGGUUGUCCCGGUUUAAGCGUGUAGGCUGGUUUUCCAGGCAAAUCCGGAAAAUCAAGGCUGAGGCGUGAUGACGAGGCACUACGGUGCUGAAGCAACAAAUGCCCUGCUUCCAGGAAAAGCCUCUAAGCAUCAGGUAACAUCAAAUCGUACCCCAAACCGACACAGGUGGUCAGGUAGAGAAUACCAAGGCGCUUGAGAGAACUCGGGUGAAGGAACUAGGCAAAAUGGUGCCGUAACUUCGGGAGAAGGCACGCUGAUAUGUAGGUGAAGUCCCUCGCGGAUGGAGCUGAAAUCAGUCGAAGAUACCAGCUGGCUGCAACUGUUUAUUAAAAACACAGCACUGUGCAAACACGAAAGUGGACGUAUACGGUGUGACGCCUGCCCGGUGCCGGAAGGUUAAUUGAUGGGGUCAGCGCAAGCGAAGCUCUUGAUCGAAGCCCCGGUAAACGGCGGCCGUAACUAUAACGGUCCUAAGGUAGCGAAAUUCCUUGUCGGGUAAGUUCCGACCUGCACGAAUGGCGUAAUGAUGGCCAGGCUGUCUCCACCCGAGACUCAGUGAAAUUGAACUCGCUGUGAAGAUGCAGUGUACCCGCGGCAAGACGGAAAGACCCCGUGAACCUUUACUAUAGCUUGACACUGAACAUUGAGCCUUGAUGUGUAGGAUAGGUGGGAGGCUUAGAAGUGUGGACGCCAGUCUGCAUGGAGCCGACCUUGAAAUACCACCCUUUAAUGUUUGAUGUUCUAACGUUGACCCGUAAUCCGGGUUGCGGACAGUGUCUGGUGGGUAGUUUGACUGGGGCGGUCUCCUCCUAAAGAGUAACGGAGGAGCACGAAGGUUGGCUAAUCCUGGUCGGACAUCAGGAGGUUAGUGCAAUGGCAUAAGCCAGCUUGACUGCGAGCGUGACGGCGCGAGCAGGUGCGAAAGCAGGUCAUAGUGAUCCGGUGGUUCUGAAUGGAAGGGCCAUCGCUCAACGGAUAAAAGGUACUCCGGGGAUAACAGGCUGAUACCGCCCAAGAGUUCAUAUCGACGGCGGUGUUUGGCACCUCGAUGUCGGCUCAUCACAUCCUGGGGCUGAAGUAGGUCCCAAGGGUAUGGCUGUUCGCCAUUUAAAGUGGUACGCGAGCUGGGUUUAGAACGUCGUGAGACAGUUCGGUCCCUAUCUGCCGUGGGCGCUGGAGAACUGAGGGGGGCUGCUCCUAGUACGAGAGGACCGGAGUGGACGCAUCACUGGUGUUCGGGUUGUCAUGCCAAUGGCACUGCCCGGUAGCUAAAUGCGGAAGAGAUAAGUGCUGAAAGCAUCUAAGCACGAAACUUGCCCCGAGAUGAGUUCUCCCUGACCCUUUAAGGGUCCUGAAGGAACGUUGAAGACGACGACGUUGAUAGGCCGGGUGUGUAAGCGCAGCGAUGCGUUGAGCUAACCGGUACUAAUGAACCGUGAGGCUUAACCUUACAACGCCGAAGCUGUU